rnacentral:rRNA from 1 species
UACGGAGGGUGCAAGCGUUAAUCGGAAUUACUGGGCGUAAAGCGUGCGCAGGCGGUUUGUUAAGUCUGCUGUGAAAUCCCCGAGCUCAACUUGGGAAUUGCAGUGGAUACUGGCAAGCUGGAGUACGGUAGAGGAAGGUGGAAUUCCCGGUGUAGCAGUGAAAUGCGCAGAUAUCAGGAGGAACACCAAUGGCGAAGGCAGCUCGCUGGGACGGUACUGACGCUGAGACGCGAAAGCGUGGGGAGCAAACAGG